AGGUAUAAUUAAGUGUGGCCAAUUUGGGACUCAAGAUAGCCUUCAGUUGUAAGUUUUGGGGGGUGUGUGUGUGCUUAGCUCUGCUAAGUUUCCUUGAAAUCUGGCAUGCCACAGAGUUCACUUUUGAACGUACCCCUUAUUUCACCUUCUCCGAGAAGGGUGAAUUUCCAAAGGCUUCAAGUUGGUGUAUCGAAGAAGUCUAUCAAAGCCCAUUCUCCCAACAUAGCCUCAAGUUUACUAAUAAUUUGAACUAGAUAUUUCUUCCUCACUUAAUAAAUCAUAAACAUUUUCAUAACACAAUAAUUCAGAAGCAUGGCAUUACAAUAGCUUACAAAGUGAUAAAUUAUAAAGCCCCUGUGGGAACACAACAGAAUUCAUUUUCAAUAAUGUUUUGCCUUCUCUCUGGUGAACUGGAAGGCACAAUAUUAAAUGUUUAAAUUAAAGAAACACAUUAAUGAAGAAUGUUUCUAGUAAGUUCCAACAGAUGGCUUCCAAAUGCAUCCCAUAGAGUGAAAUGCGUAAUUCUACCCUAUAAAUAUGCCAGACAACAUUACAAAUAAACCACAGCAAAUACACCUUAUGAGACAACUGAAAUAAUGUUAUUUUGGAGUAGAUAAACUCAUAGGAGAUGAAGAUCGUUACAAUGAGAGGUCUCCUAGAAUGAUCGAAUAAAUGUGAUAGAUUUAGAAAUAACUUAGGACAAUUUACACACACACACACACACAUGCAUAUACACACACAUAAUACGUGGAUGUUUGUGUGCAAGUACUAGGGUUUGAACUCAGGGCCUAUGCCU